rnacentral:rRNA from 1 species
CCAAUAGCGUAUAUUAAAGUUGUUGCAGUUAAAAAGCUCGUAGUUGAACUUCGGGGUUUACUCAUUGGUCAGGCUUAAUUGUCUGUACUGGUGAGAUGAAUCUCUACCUUCUGAGGAACUUUCAUGCCAUUUAUUUGGUGUGAUUGGAAAUCAGGACUGUUACUUUGAAAAAAUUAGAGUGUUUAAAGCAGGCUAACGUCUGAAUACAUUAGCAUGGAAUAAUGAAAUAGGACGGACUGAUUCUAUUUCGUUGGUUUCUAGGAUCACCGUAAUGAUUAAUAGGGAUAGUUGGGGGCAUUAGUAUUCAAUUGUCAGAGGUGAAAUUCUUGGAUUUAUUGAAGACUAACUACUGCGAAAGCAUUUGCCAAGGAUGUUUUCAUUAAUCAAGAACGAAAGUUAGGGGAUCGAAGACGAUCGGAUACCGUCGUAGUCUUAACCAUAAACUAUGCCGACUAGGGAUCGGACGAAGUUAAUUUUAUAAUGACGCGUUCGGCACCUUACG